CUCAAAAGUUACUAAGUGGCUUCUGCAAAAUAUUUUUUGAUAAAUUGCUCUUUUUCCUUCUGACUCUUCCUGAAAGCCCCUCUGAAGUCUGAUGUAUAAGAGCCAGUAACAAAGAACAAAUGAAGAUGCUCUUCACCUGAGGUUUUUCUUUAAAUUCUAUUUUCACUGAGCAAUAGGGGGAAAAAAAAAGAUUUUCUUCCAUCAAAUGCUUUCUGUGAUGGCAGCAGUUUGGUGUGAAUGUGUGAUAAGAAUAUCUGCAAUGUAAAGAUAGCUGGGAACUUUGAAUCAGUCCCUUGGCUGACAGUGGGCAGCCCAGUGUGUUACAAAGGAGGGUUUGAGAAAUCCUAUGCCUGGCAGAUGUGAAAUAGUUUGCUGCCAUGCUAAUCGCUACUGCCUUGGAAUUGAUUUGACCCUGAAACAUGAGAAGCUUCUGCCAGUGGAGGAACUACCUUAGAGUGAGGUGGCUCAAGAUUCUCCUCCUGACUCCCUGCAGAAAGGCUAAUAGAGUGCAGAAAGAUAAAAGCACUAUCCUGUCAGAAGAGAUCUGAAGGUUCUACUUAAGGACACAGACCUGUAUACCUUGCAGGCUUCCUGGCUUUUUUGAACUGAGGAGCCCAGAGCUGGACGCAGUAUUCUAGAUGUGGCCUUGCUACACUGUAAAGCUUUGCACCUGAAAAUAACAGCACUGUUUAUAAAAAUGAAAUGAACAAUGUAAAAAAAUAUGCUGGUAAACGUGGGAAAUUCAAACCAAAAGUUUUGAAAGUUACAGCAAAUGAAGUUUCAGAUUCUCUUAUGAAUAUGAUACAGUUAAACACUAUAGCACAAUAUUUAGCUCUCAACUUGUUGAUUGCUUCAUAGUCAAGGUGUUACAACAUACAUUUCAGAAACAUUGAGUUUUACGUGACAAACAGGUUAAUCUUCAAGGAUGACCACACAGAGCACCACUGAUACACAACACACAGAGUGAAAAGAAUUUGUCUGCCACUCGUCCUAACAAAUGAUCAAGGUUGUAUUUCUUCUUGAUAUUUCAUAUUCAGAAUGUCCAAGUGUAUACACUGCAUGUAGGGAAGCA